GGCCUUCGGGUUGUAAAGCACUUUUGGCAGGGAAGAAACAGCCCGGGCUAAUAUCCCGGGUCAAUGACGGUACCUGCAGAAUAAGCACCGGCUAACUACGUGCCAGCAGCCGCGGUAAUACGUAGGGUGCAAGCGUUAAUCGGAAUUACUGGGCGUAAAGCGUGCGCAGGCGGUUCGGAAAGAAAGGUGUGAAAUCCCAGGGCUUAACCUUGGAACUGCACUUUUAACUACCGGGCUAGAGUACGUCAGAGGGGGGUAGAAUUCCACGUGUAGCAGUGAAAUGCGUAGAGAUGUGGAGGAAUACCGAUGGCGAAGGCAGCCCCCUGGGAUGAUACUGACGCUCAUGCACGAAAGCGUGGGGAGCAAACAGGAUUAGAUACCCUGGUAGUCCACGCCCUAAACGAUGUCAACUAGCUGUUGGGGUUUAUUAACCUUAUUAGCGCAGCUAACGCGUGAAGUUGACCGCCUGGGGAGUACGGUCGCAAGAUUAAAACUCAAAGGAAUUGACGGGGACCCGCACAAGCGGUGGAUGAUGUGGAUUAAUUCGAUGCAACGCGAAAAACCUUACCUACCCUUGACAUGUCUGGAAUCCUUUAGAGAUAGAGGAGUGCUCGCAAGAGAACCGGAACACAGGUGCUGCAUGGCUGUCGUCAGCUCGUGCCGUGAGAUGUUGGGUUAAGUCCCGCAACGAGCGCAACCC
rnacentral:rRNA from 1 species